AACGAACGCUGGCGGCAGGUCUUAGGCAUGCAAGUCGAACGGGUGAAGCAGGUGCUUGCACUUGUGGAUCUAGUGGCGCACGAGUGAGUAACGCGUGGGAAACUGCCCACCACUGGGGAAUAACGUUUGGAAACGAACGCUAAUACCGCAUACGCCGGAAACGGGAAAGAUUUAUCGGUGGUGGAUGGUCUCGCGUCUGAUUAGCUAGAUGGCGGGGUAACGGCCCACCAUGGCGACGAUCAGUAGCCGGUCUGAGAGGAUGAACGGCCACAUUGGGACUGAGAUACGGCCCAGACUCCUACGGGAGGCAGCAGUGGGGAAUAUUGGGCAAUGGGGGAAACCCUGACCCAGCAACGCCGCGUGAAGGAAGAAGGCCUUCGGGUUGUAAACUUCUUUUAGUAGGGACGAAGAACGUGACGGUACCUACAGAAAAAGCAACGGCUAACUACGUG
rnacentral:rRNA from 1 species